rnacentral:rRNA from 1 species
AUUUUGGACAAUGGGGGCGACCCGGAUCCAGCCAUCCCGCGUGUGCGAUGAAGGCCUUCGGGUUGNACAGCACUUUUGGCAGGGAANAAAAGGCGCCGGAUAAUAACUGGCGCCGCUGACGGUACCUGCAGAAUAAGCACCUGCGAACGACGUGCCAGCAGCAGCGGUAAUACGUAGGGUGCAAGCGUUAAUCGGAAUGACUGGGCGUAAAGCGUGCGCAGGCGGUUCGGAAAGAAAGAUGUGAAAUCCCAGGGCUUAACCUUGGAACGGCAUUUUUAACUGCCGGGCUAGAGUAUGUCAGAGGGGGGUAGAAUUCCACGUGUAGCAGUGAAAUGCGUAGAGAUGUGGAGGAAUACCGAUGGCGAAGGCAGCCCCCUGGGAUAAUACUGACGCUCAUGCACGAAAGCGUGGGGAGCAAACA